GUGAAUCUUGAGGAUGGAUGCGGACAUACUCGUCUAUAUAAAUUCGGAAAUGCUGUUUUUCUUAUGUGAUGUUCGAUGUCGCCUGAUCGGCCAUGCAUAGUUUUUGUCAGCAUUUUCAAAUUUAUAAUCUGGAAUAUCAUGCUGAAGAAGGAAAUGAAUUUUUACCAUUCUAAUCCCGAAACGCGUACAUGAUUGCCUAAAGCUGGUGAAGAAAAUGGAGACGAAAAGUUAUGCUACAGCAGCUGGAGAACUGAGUGCCGUGGAUCCACGUGUGCUGGAGCAACAUUAAGUGGACUUCAACGUAGUUUUAAGAAAUACUAAGAAAAAAGAAUGGAGAAGUAAAUAGUCUAUAGAACGUUUUCGAGAAAGAAAAAGAAUCGAUAUUGCAACAGAGGAAAAAGUGAAGUGCCUAGAAGAUAUCAAAGACAGCAUCAUUUUUUUUUUUUCACGUAACCAGUAUAAGAAUGCGGAUAUUACAACGUAGCGGUUCGUUACGACGUACAGCCAAAUGGGGGAACGAGACAAUUUAGCGCCUUUUUAAUACUACUGAACAUCGUAUGAGUACUGGUAUGCUGUUCCGUAACCAACAGGCUGGUCUGCCAUUUGGAAAGUACAGAUGGGGACACUACAAGGACAGACACAACACCACAAUGGGGACACAAAACAUAAACCGAAUGACAAUGAGAUGUUAUAUAAUGAAGAAAUGAAAUGGCUGCAUGGGCCCUAUGCAUCGAGGACUGAAAAUAAAACUCGUGUUUUAGACAAUGUCAAAGGGCUAGUUCAAAUUUGGAUAUGGUGUUUCCUACUCUACGUGGACGCUAGACAGUCUAUGGAUAGCAGAGUGGCUUCUUUGAUAAAGAAAUUUAGCGUAUAAAUGCGAAGAGGGCAACCAUGAUGACAGGACUGUAUUACAAACAAGAAAUUCUACACUACUGAUGCGACACUCUGAUAGAACAGAGCUUAAAUGUUUUAAGUCUCCUGUAGCGGAAUCUUAAUUUUCUAUUUCAAGUUUAGCACCUGUCUUUCGUCUGACCUCAUCUACUUCAGGUAGGAGCGCCUGUGCAUAAAAUCUAUACGCCAGGUUGUGCAUGAACAUUUAAACAUUCCGCCAAUAAAUGCAUGAUAUGCUACAUCAUGUAGUCAUUAUAUUUAGGUUCUUGUUUGGCAAAGAUAUAGACUGAGGAACGAUGUGCACUUGUCUUAUCAGUGGUCAACAGACGAUGAAAUAUGUCAAGAUAGUCUCUUUGAACAAAAUAAGAUGUAGUCGCAUUUAUUGAGUUCCAAAGUGAUAAAACUUUAAAGCUACAUAACUGAACUACUUUAAAAUUUUAUAAUAAACGCCGUGUUGUGCAGAUACCAGCUCUGCACUAAACCUCUGGUUCGCUAGCUGACUCAUUUACUGGCUUUACUCUGAAUGAAAUUGACAAAUAACUUCUGGAACCAAAGGUUCCUAAUCUUUACCACUUGGUCCCCUGUUUUUUCAAAUUUUAAUCUAUUUAAGCGGUCCUUAAUCGCUAAUGUCCUUGAGUGCAGCUAGAAGACCUACUCGGCUAUUCUGCUUUUGAAAAAAGUGAUUGCUUUUAAUUAACGGGUUAAAUUUCUAAAGGGAAUGUCAGUCCUUCCCUCAACUAGUCUGCUGCUUCGUACAUGUGCCUGAACAGUGUUUAAGGAGGACAGUGGUGCUUGUAUUUGGUGCGUCUACUACAAGACAAAUCUUUUUGAUCAAAACCUAAAAUAUUGGAACACAAUUUUACUUUUGUGAGACCAUUUAAUAACCUUGAAGUUCGAUCAAGAGCGUGAGACGUUGUAUACUGACGACACCUUUGGAAAAUGUACUGACUAGGUUUGUAAUCCAAUUCUGGCAACUUCUCGACAGCAGCCUUUCAUU